rnacentral:lncRNA from 1 species
UGCUGUUAAAACCAAAAUUCCCCUUUGUAAAUGCUACUCAUCUAUCCACUGAUUCCAUCAACACAUGCAAGAAUCUAAUCUAAAAAUAGUAUAAAGUUCAGAGGAAUCAGAUUACUGCUUUCGAUUUCUACCGUGAGAAAAACACAUGCAAGAAUCUGAAAAUAGAUAGCCUAAAAAUAGAUAGAAUCAGCAUGUCAUACAGUGGAUUCUAUCCUAGCAUCAAGGCAACGCACAUCCACAGCAAGAGCUUACAAAACUGAAAAUCAGAUAUUAAUCAAUUCCAUCUAAAGCACAAAGCAAGCAAGAAUUCAGGGGCUAAUAUAUAGGUUAUUAGUACUAAAAUGAGAAGGCCAAGAUUUAGCUCAC